CAUGGAGCCGGAAAUCUGCAGGAAACACAACAUUAAGUAGCCAUGGCAACAAAACUCUCAGGGUUAGCAACCACAUGUACACCCUAGCAACCCAAGGUAACACUGCAUGUACACCUUAGCAACCACAGGUAACACUGCAUGUACACCUUAGCAACCAUAGGUAACACUGUAUGUACACCUUAGCAACCCCAGGUAACACUGCAUGUACACCUUAGCAACCACAGGUAACACUGCAUGUACACCUUAGCAACCAUAGGUAACACUGUAUGUACACCUUAGCAACCCCAGGUAACACUGCAUGUACACCUUAGCAACCACAGGUAACACUGCAUGUACACCUUAGCAACCACAGGUAACACUGUAUGUACACCUUAGCAACCCCAGGUAACACUGUAUGUACACCUUAGCAACCCCAGGUAACACUGCAUGUACACCUUAGCAACCACAGGUAACACUGCAUGUACACCUUAGCAACCACAGGUAACACUGUAUGUACACCUUAGCAACCCCAGGUAACACUGCAUGUACACCUUAGCAACCACAGGUAACACUGUAUGUACACCCUAGCAACCACAGGUAACACUGCAUGUAUACCCUAGCAACCCCAGGUAACACUGUAUGUACACCUUAGCAACCACAGGUAACACUGCAUGUACACCUUAGCAAACCCAGGUAACACUGCAUGUACACCUUAGCAACCCCAGGUAACACUGCAUGUACACCUUAGCAACCCCAGGUAACACUGCAUGUACACCUUAGCAAACCCAGGUAACACUGCAUGUACACCUUAGCAACCCCAGGUAACACUGCAUGUACACCUUAGCAAACCCAGGUAACACUGCAUGUACACCUUAGCAAACCCAGGUAACACUACAUGUACACCUUAGCAACCCCAGGUAACACUGCAUGUACACCUUAGCAACCCCAGGUAACACUGCAUGUACACCUUAGCAACCCCAGGUAACACUGCAUGUACACCUUAGCAACCCCAGGUAACACUGCAUGUACACCUUAGCAACCCCAGGUAACACUGCAUGUACACCUUAGCAACCCCAGGUAACACUGCAUGUACACCUUAGCAACCCCAGGUAACACUGCAUGUACACCUUAGCAACCCCAGGUAACACUGCAUGUACACCUUAGCAACCACAGGUAACACUGCAUGUACACCUUAGCAAACCCAGGUAACACUGCAUGUACACCUUAGCAACCCCAGGUAACACUGCAUGUACACCUUAGCAAACCCAGGUAACACUGCAUGUACACCUUAGCAACCCCAGGUAACACUGUAUGUACACCUUAGCAACCACAGGUAACACUGUAUGUACACCUUAGCAAACCCAGGUAACACUGCAUGUACACCUUAGCAACCCCAGGUAACACUGUAUGUACACCUUAGCAACCCCAGGUAACACUGUAUGUACACCUUAGCAACCCCAGGUAACACUGCAUGUACACCUUAGCAACCACAGGUAACACUGUAUGUACACCUUAGCAACCACAGGUAACACUGUAUGUACACCUUAGCAAACCCAGGUAACACUGUAUGUACACCUUAGCAACCACAGGUAACACUGCAUGUACACCUUAGCAACCCCAGGUAACACUGUAUGUACACCUUAGCAACCACAGGUAACACUGUAUGUACACCUUAGCAACCCCAGGUAACACUGCAUGUACACCCUAGCAACCCCAGGUAACACUGUAUGCACACCCUAGCAACCACA